CUACGGGUGGCACCAGUGGGGAAUAUUGCACAAUGGGCGCAAGCCUGAUGCAGCCAUGCCGCGUGUAUGAAGAAGGCCUUCGGGUUGUAAAGUACUUUCAGCGGGGAGGAAGGGAGUAAAGUUAAUACCUUUGCUCAUUGACGUUACCCGCAGAAGAAGCACCGGCUAACUCCGUGCCAGCAGCCGCGGUAAUACGGAGGGUGCAAGCGUUAAUCGGAAUUACUGGGCGUAAAGCGCACGCAGGCGGUUGUUAAGUCAGAUGUGAAAUCCCCGGGCUCAACCUGGGAACUGCAUCUGAUACUGGCUAGCUUGAGUCUCGUAGAGGGGGGUAGAAUUCCAGGUGUAGCGGUGAAAUGCGUAGAGAUCUGGAGGAAUACCGGUGGCGAAGGCGGCCCCCUGGACGAAGACUGACGCUCAGGUGCGAAAGCGUGGGGAGCAAACAGGAUUAGAUACCCUCGUAGUC
rnacentral:rRNA from 1 species